AUCGAUUAGGUACACUGGCCUAUUGAAAAUUACCUAGACGAGUGGCUUGUUGUGUACAAAGUAACAUUUGACUAUUUCAGGGACGUCAUCACUCGAUGUUUUCCGUCGGUUAUUUUACUAAUUGUUUUUAUUUGGUUCGUGUCAAUACGCGUUUCGGUGUCCGAUCAAUCGCAUAAAUAAGGAUCGAUACGGACAUAAUAUAUUAAAUCCUAAUAUCUAUUAUCAAAACGACUCGUGACGGAUUUAUAUCAGUGCAAUUAUUGAAUUUAGAAAAUGUCCGAACCAUACACAAUGACGUAUUGCGUGGCGUGCCGUCAGAAGACUUCGUGGAGCGGUCAGCCGAUACUGAAACAGACCCGAAACUUGAGAGCCGGUCUACGAGGUGUAUGCGUCAGGUGCAACAAAACAAAGUUCACCUUCGUCACCACAGUAUACUACUGUAGCAAACGGCAAAAUCCGGCGUCUGUGUCAAAUGCGAAAUGACGGCAAUACGGCCGAUUCAAAAAAUUAUACAUAUUCAAUUUUUAAAAAAAUAAAUAAAUUUUACCGUUUUA